rnacentral:rRNA from 1 species
GGGCCCGCACAAGCGGUGGAGUAUGUGGUUUAAUUCGAUGCAACGCGAAGAACCUUACCAGGGUUUGACAUCCUGCGAAUCUCUUGGAAACGAGAGAGUGCCUUCGGGAACGCAGUGACAGGUGGUGCAUGGCUGUCGUCAGCUCGUGUCGUGAGAUGUUGGGUUAAGUCCCGCAACGAGCGCAACCCACGUCUUUAGUUGCCAGCAUUUAGUUGGGCACUCUAGAGAGACUGCCGGUGAUAAACCGGAGGAAGGUGUGGAUGACGUCAAGUCAUCAUGCCCCUUACAUCCUGGGCUACACACGUACUACAAUGGGGAAUACAGACGGACGCUAAGCCGCGAGGUGGUG